CUCCUCAUCUCCCCAGAGAAGCUUGCGGCCACUCUGGUUGCUAAGAACUUCAGCUCAUCCCAUUUGAGAACAGAGGCUGGGAGAAGGGCAGGAACUGGGCGUCAAAUAGCAGUUAUGUGAUAUCUGAAUCUGCUUUAUUGAAGAGUUUCACUUUUCUUUCUUUCUUUUUUUUUUUUUUUUGCUUUCUUUUAGGGCCGCAUUCGUGGCAUACAGAAGUUCCCAGGCUAGGGGUUGAAUCGGUUGAGCCCAUCUGCCAUCUCCACCGCAGCCUAAGGCAACACCAGAUCCUCAACCCACCGAGAGAAGCCAGGGAUUGAACCCUCAUCUUCAGGGAUACCAGCCAGGCCACCUGCCCACGACAGAGUAGGCAGAGGGGAGGAGGCUCUUCCAAAUUCUCCAUCCAGAAAAGCAUGCCUCUCCAGAAACCCAUGUCUCCGGGGGCAGGGCGAGUUGACCUGGGAGUCUGUUUCAAGAGUAUUUGGCGCUAUAACUGCAUUUGGUGAACUUCUAUUUGACUGAUUCUCUUACAGAAUGUUUUACUUGGAACGUGUUUCAGAUGUUAGAGGCGCUGGUGCAGAUUCUUCCAGAUAACAGUUGGUCUGAGCCCACCUGCCGAUGGUAUUCGUCUCAUGAAGUCAUCCGCAGCAGGAGAGAACCGAACCAAAAUCAUUUGUGGGACGUGUGGUUCACAGAAUUUUGUGUUCUACUAAGCAUCAUUCUUCACUUAAAAAAAAUUUGUUACUGGGCUGAUGCCAAGCCUUCUGUAGUACUUCCCGGAUACAAAUCAGGUUUUAAUAAAAGCUCCCUGGGACCA
rnacentral:lncRNA from 1 species